GCCCCGGUGGCGCAGCGGAUGGCGCGUCCGUCUCCGGAACGGAAGGUCGCGGGUUCGAAUCCCGCCCGGGGCA
rnacentral:tRNA from 1 species